rnacentral:rRNA from 1 species
UACGGAGGGUGCAAGCGUUAUCCGGAUUUACUGGGUUUAAAGGGUGUGUAGGCGGACUUUUAAGUCAGGGGUGAAAUCCCGAGGCUCAACCUCGGAACUGCCUCUGAUACUAUUGGUCUUGAAUGUUGUUGAGGUGGGCGGAACGGGUCAUGUAGCGGUGAAAUGCAUAGAUAUGACCCGGAACACCGAUUGCGAAGGCAGCCCGCUAAGCAACUAUUGACGCUGAGGCACGAAAGCGUGGGGAUCAAACAGG